CGCGGGGUGGAGCAGCGGCAGCUCGUCGGGCUCAUAACCCGAAGGUCGGUGGUUCGAGUCCACCCCCCGCUACCA
rnacentral:tRNA from 2 species